ensembl:misc_RNA Metazoa_SRP Metazoan signal recognition particle RNA
GCCGGGUUCAGUGGCAUGUGCCUGUAAUCCAAGUCACUGGGAGGCUGAGGUUGGUGGAUCAAGUGAGCUGAGGAGCUCUGGGCUGCAGCACGCUAUGUCGAACGGGUGUCCACGGUAAGUUUGGUAUCGAUAUGGUGUUCCUGGGGGAGCCUGGGACCACCAGGUUGUCUAAGGAGGGGUGAACCGGCCCAGGUCGGAAACGAAGCAGGUCAAAUCCCCCGUGCUGUCCAGUAGUGGGAUAAUACCUGUGAGUAGAUGCUGCAGUGCAGCCUUGGCAAAACAUCGAGACCUAAUCUUUU